GGGGAAUUUUGGACAAUGGGGGCAACCCUGAUCCAGCCAUUCCGCGUGAGGGAUGAAGGCUUUCGGGUCGUAAACCUCUGUCGGAAGGGAAGAACGGGCAUUGGUCUAAUAGGCCUUUGUUUUGACGGUACCUUUAGAGGAAGCACCGGCUAACUCCGUGCCAGCAGCCGCGGUAAUACGGAGGGUGCAAGCGUUAUUCGGAAUUACUGGGCGUAAAGCGCACGUAGGCCGCUUUGUAAGUCAGGGGUGAAAUCCCACGGCUCAACCGUGGAACUGCCCUUGAAACUGCGAAGCUUGAAUCCUGGAGAGGGUGGCGGAAUUCCUGGUGUAGGAGUGAAAUCCGUAGAUAUCAGGAGGAACACCGGUGGCGAAGGCGGCCACCUGGACAGGUAUUGACGCUGAGGUGCGAAAGUGUGGGGAGCAAAC
rnacentral:rRNA from 1 species